UUUUUCUUCUUUCACAUGCAACUUUUUCGUAAAGUGAGCAGAGCCCAGAGACAGCAAGCAGAUUAGUGACGAAUGUAAGGCGGUUACUUGAGGGGCAAAGGAAAAUACGGGUGUCGAAAGGAAAUUACUGAGAAAAAUAAAGGAUCGUAAAUAUUAAUAAUUUAACGUUUUUGAGGCAUUUGAACGCGUUGAAAAAAAGUCCUCUCUCGAUGAACAAAACUACCACUUUAUAAGGAUCUCGUCAUGCCCGUCCUAUCGUAUGGCGCAGAAGCUUGGACGAUAACAGCAUACGAUGAGACGUCACUUGGAAUGUUUGAAAGAAAGAUUCUGCGGAAGAUUUUUGGCGCAGCGAAUGAAAAUUCAGCACCUUUGUUGGUUGGGCCAAUGUAUACAAACGCUCCGACUCUGAAAGUAUUCGAUGCAGUGCACGCUGGUGUUAGCAGAGGAAGACGAAAGCCUCAUCUGCGUUGGAAAUAUCAGGUGGAAGCACCGGUUAGCUCGAUAAACAAACGACUGGCGUGCUAUGUUAAGCUCGCGUAAACGAUUAUCGCGCCAAUCAAGAAGAAAAUGAAGCAUUGAAAUACAUACUGUACGCGAAUGCCCAAAUAAAUGAACUCAAAGAUUAUAUUA